GAUGAACGCUAGCGGCAGGCUUAAUACAUGCAAGUCGAGGGGCAGCAGUUUUGUAGCAAUACAGAAGCUGGCGACCGGCAAACAGGUGCGGAACACGUACGCAACCUUCCUCUAACUGGAAGAUAGCCCACCGAAAGGUGGAUUAAUAUUCCAUAGUAUAUUGAAAAGGCAUCUUUUUGAUAUUAAAGCUCCGGCGGUUAGAGAUGGGCGUGCGUCUGAUUAGGUAGUUGGCGGGGUAACGGCCCACCAAGCCUACGAUCAGUAGCUGAUGUGAGAGCAUGAUCAGCCACACGGGCACUGAGACACGGGCCCGACUCCUACGGGAGGCAGCAGUAAGGAAUAUUGGUCAAUGGACGCAAGUCUGAACCAGCCAUGCCGCGUGGAGGAUGAAGGCCCUCUGGGUUGUAAACUUCUUUUCUUUGGGACGAAACCCCUGUUUCUACGGGGACUGACGGUACCAGAGGAAUAAGCACCGGCUAACUCCGUGCCAGCCGCCGCUGUAAUAC
rnacentral:rRNA from 1 species